GAUGAAGAACGUAGCAAAAUGCGAUAAGUAAUGUGAAUUGCAGAAUUCAGUGAAUCAUCGAAUCUUUGAACGCACAUUGCGCCCGCCAGUAUUCUGGCGGGCAUGCCUGCUCGAGCGUCAUUUCAACCCUCAAGCCCUCGGGUUUGGUGUUGGGGAUCGGCGAGCCUUUCUGGCAAGCCGGCCCCGAAAUCUAGUGGCGGUCUCGCUGCAGCCUCCAUUGCGUAGUAGUAAAACCCUCGCAACUGGAACGCGGCGCGGCCAAGCCGUUAAACCCCCAACUUCUGAAUGUUGACCUCGGAUCAGGUAGGAAUACCCGCUGAACUUAAGCAUAUCAAUAAGCGGAGGA
rnacentral:misc_RNA from 1 species